rnacentral:rRNA from 1 species
GACGAACGCUGGCGGCGUGCUUAACACAUGCAAGUCGAACGGAAAGGCCCUGCUUUUGUGGGGUGCUCGAUUGGCGAACGGGUGAGUAACACGUGAGUAACCUGCCCUUGACUUUGGGAUAACUUCAGGAAACUGGGGCUCAUACCGGAUAGGAGCUCCUGCUGCAUGGUGUGGGUUGGAAAGUUUCGGCGGUUGUGGAUGGACUCGCGGCUUAUCAGCUUGUUGGUGGGGUAGUGGCUUACCAAGGCUUUGACGGGUAGCCGGCCUGAGAGGGUGACCGGCCACAUUGGGACUGAGAGACGGCCCAGAAUCCUACGGGAGGCAGCAGUGGGGAAUAUUGCACAAUGGGCGGAAGCCUGAUGCAGCAACGCCGCGUGCGGGAUGACGGCCUUCGGGUUGUAAACCGCUUUCGCCUGUGACGAAGCGUGAGUGACGGUAAUGGGUAAAGAAGCACCGGCUAACUACGUG